CCACGCCAACGGCCACGCCGGGGGAGGGGGCGGCCCCGCGGCUGCCCCCGGGGGAAGGGGGGAGCCCUCCGCCCCCCCAGCUACGCAGCGAGUAACGAGCGGCGGCAGCCGCCGCCGCAGCGCUCUAAAGGGUUGUGGUUUUCUCUCUCCCUCCCUCCCCCUUUCCUGAGAUAAAAAUCUCAGGACAGCGGAGGCCGUAGCGUUGACGAGGCUAUUAAGAUGGUAUUUAUGGGGUAAUCGCUUAUUUUAACUGCCAGCCGCAUAAAAUUUAUCCUGAGGGGAGAGAAAAGAGAAAAAAAAAGAAAGACUCGUGGAAUUUUAUUAUUAUCAUUUACACUUAAAAAAAAAAAAAACUGUUUAACAAAUGGAAUUGGCGGUGCCUCCUGCCAGCGGUGGGUCAGGAGGGCUGGCGAGGGCGAGCUGGAGGGUGGCUGGUCAUCGGCGUUUCCUGGGGGGAGGCCCCACUGCCAGGGAGGGGCUCCCCCACGAGGCUGGGGAGCGGGGGCCCCCCAAAACCCAAAGGAGGAGACUCUGGUUUGGGGAGCGAUGUGGCAGGUCCACACUUGAGUGCCACCUGUGAGCAGCUCUGGUCUACAGCUGAGGGCUUGGGCCCAAAACCUAGAGGGAGCAAGCAGAGGUGGGGACACACAGGUGAGCAGGGCUCGAAGGGCAUCCCUCUCCCCAGAAAACACCACCGUGACCAGGCGAUUUGCUCUGUUUCUUUCAGCUGUUUCUCAUCUCCGUGUGCACGCUUGCUCCCAGUGCCACCUGAUCUCUCACCCAACCUUCACGUCGCAGGGGCUGUUUCCAACCAGUGA
rnacentral:lncRNA from 1 species